CAUGAUUUUCUCUUGGUGAAUCCAUGUUGUCUACUGCUACUAACCUUUUCUUGCACUUGCCUGGAGAUAUCAUCCAGAAUAAGCUGCUUUAUCACCUUCCCAGAGAUGGAGCUCUCCUCUAUGUCUGCUUCAUUCAGGCAAGCUGUUUGGCUGUCCAAAAAUAUAAAUAAAUUAGAAGAAAAUGAUCACAGGGGAGACAUCUAUGUUACAGUGAAAAGUAUCAUGUUCCAAAUCAAACACUUGGAAACUUGCCAGUGGUAUUACAAGCCUGCCUAAAAUAUGCUGGGAAAAGGAGAA